GUGCUCGCUUCCGCAGCAGAUAUGCCAACAUUGGAACACUACAGAGAAGACUGGCAUGGCCCCUGCGCAAGGAUGACUGAGGUCCAGAAGAGUUCCAGCUCUGU
ensembl:snRNA U6 U6 spliceosomal RNA